UACGUAGGGGGCAAGCGUUGUCCGGAAUUAUUGGGCGUAAAGAGCUCGUAGGCGGUUUGUCGCGUCUGCUGUGAAAUCCCGAGGCUCAACCUCGGGCCUGCAGUGGGUACGGGCAGACUAGAGUGCGGUAGGGGAGAUUGGAAUUCCUGGUGUAGCGGUGGAAUGCGCAGAUAUCAGGAGGAACACCGAUGGCGAAGGCAGAUCUCUGGGCCGUAACUGACGCUGAGGAGCGAAAGCAUGGGGAGCGAACAGG
rnacentral:rRNA from 1 species